AGCUCCAAAAGUGUAUGCUAAAGUUGUUGCGGUUGAAAAGCUCGUAGUUGGAUAUAGAGCUGGCGCGGCCGGUCCGUCGCAGGGCGUGCACUGGUCGCGUCGUCUCCGCCUUCGGUUCUCCGCGGGUGCUCUUGACUGAGUGCGCGCGGUGGCCGACAAGUUUACUUUGAAAAAAUUAGAGCGUUCAAAGCAGGCCGGUCGCCUGCAUAGUGUUGCAUGGAAUAAUGGAAUAGGACCUCGGUUCUAUUUUGUUGGUUUUCGGAAGCGAGGUAAUGAUUAAGAGGGACAGCCGGGGGCGUCCGUACUCUGCCGUUAGAGGUGAAAUUCUUGGAUCGGCGGAAGACGAACUACUGCGAAAGCAUUCGCCAAGAAUGUUUUCU
rnacentral:rRNA from 1 species